CCUCGCUCAUGUCUUUGGCGUUGAGGAUGAGGAGGAAGGCGGGCUUGGGCCCCGCCCCCGGGCUGAUCACGAUGCUCAGCACCACCCCUGCAAGGUGAGGACACGGUGGGUGUGGCCCAGAGAGGUUUUUAUCCUUGAUGAUGCUCUCCAGGAGCUCUGCCACUGCAGCCUGUGAGGUGGAGACCUUUUGUUCUUCAAACUCCUGAGGAGUGAUUUGUUUGCAGUAGGAGUAUGUUGGCAAGAUGGCACAAAUGUCUUCUUUUUCCUGUUUGCACUGGAAGAAAAAGGGCUCUGCAUGCACUCAACUGAUUCUGAACUGUUGGAAAGAAGCAAUUAACAAAUGAAUCUGAACUGCUCUCAUGGCACCAACCUGAGCCUUCUUCACGUACUCGAGGUGAUCGUGCACAGCAACCUGCAGGUAAGCUGGGACUUGGAAUAUCUCCUGCUGAUGGUCCAUC